rnacentral:rRNA from 1 species
UACGGAGGAUCCAAGCGUUAUCCGGAUUUAUUGGGUUUAAAGGGUGCGUAGGCGGAUUGAUAAGUUAGAGGUGAAAUGUCCGAGCUCAACUUCGGAAUUGCCUCUGAUACUGUUCGGCUAGAGAGUAGUUGCGGUAGGCGGAAUGUAUGGUGUAGCGGUGAAAUGCUUAGAGAUCAUACAGAACACCGAUUGCGAAGGCAGCUUACCAAGCUACUUCUGACGUUGAGGCACGAAAGUGUGGGGAGCAAACAGG